rnacentral:rRNA from 1 species
UACGGAGGGGGCAAGCGUUGUUCGGAAUUACUGGGCGUAAAGGGCGCGUAGGCGGCCUGUUAAGUCGAACGUGAAAUCCCCGGGCUCAACCCGGGAACUGCGUCCGAUACUGGCAGGCUUGAAUUCGGGAGAGGGAUGCGGAAUUCCAGGUGUAGCGGUGAAAUGCGUAGAUAUCUGGAGGAACACCGGUGGCGAAGGCGGCAUCCUGGACCGAGAUUGACGCUGAGGCGCGAAAGCCAGGGGAGCAAACGGG